rnacentral:rRNA from 1 species
UACGAAGGGGGCUAGCGUUGCUCGGAAUCACUGGGCGUAAAGCGCACGUAGGCGGAUUGCUAAGUCAGGGGUGAAAUCCUGGAGCUCAACUCCAGAACUGCCUUUGAUACUGGCGAUCUCGAGUUCGGGAGAGGUGAGUGGAACUGCGAGUGUAGAGGUGAAAUUCGUAGAUAUUCGCAAGAACACCAGUGGCGAAGGCGGCUCACUGGCCCGGAUACUGACGCUGAGGUGCGAAAGCGUGGGGAGCAAACAGG